AAUGAACGCUGGCGGCGUGGAUAAGACAUGCAAGUCGAACGGAAAACACAAUAGCUUGCUAAUGUGUUUUUAGUGGCGGACGGGUUAGUAACACGUGAGCAACCUGCCUCGAAGCGGGGGAUAGCCUUCCGAAAGGGAGAUUAAUACCGCAUAUGGUCUACGGAUCAAAGACUGCUUCGGCAGUCACUUCGAGAUGGGCUCGCGGCCUAUCAGCUAGUUGGUGAGGUAAAGGCUCACCAAGGCAACGACGGGUAGCUGGUCUGAGAGGAUGAUCAGCAACACUGGAACUGAGACACGGUCCAGACACCUACGGGUGGCAGCAGUCGAGAAUCAUUCACAAUGGACGAAAGUCUGAUGGUGCAACGCCGCGUGGAGGAUGAAGGACCUAGGUUCGUAAACUCCUGUCAUAUAAGAGUAAGGCAUAUUAGGUUAAGAGCUAAAUAUGUUUGAUAGUAUUAUAAGAGGAAGGGACGGCUAACUUCG
rnacentral:rRNA from 1 species